rnacentral:lncRNA from 1 species
UGAGGAUCUCCGACACGGGAACAACUGCUUUCUUCGUCGUAUUAUCAGUUCGCCAUCAUUGUUGAUAAUGGCGUUGUGUUGCUGUUGGGUGUUGUAUCGUUGAUGUCUACCACGAGAGAGAUAAGGCGAUAAAUCGACUGAGCAUCUCCGACACGACAGCAAUUGCAUUCUUCGUGGUAUUACCAGUUUUCAAUCACGGUGAACCAUGUCGUCGUGCUGUACUACACAUAACAACUUAUGCUGUCCUGAGCUACUAAACCGAAGCCCCGUUGAAGUAUUAUUCUUCCCCGAGCUACGCUACCAAAGCGCAUGUGUACUACACCACCGAGGCUCCCGAUUACUACACCACCGAGGCUCCCGAGUGCUACGCAACUACGUAUGCUGCCCCAUUCUAUUUCACCGAGACUUAAGUACUAUUCUGCUCCCAGCUACUGCUUUGAGGCUCCAGCUUAGUACACCACCAAAGCGAUCGAAUACUACAUAGAAGCGCCCAAGUACGAUAGAAAUCAGUCGAGUGAGUAUCUUCGACACCCAACACGGCAGCCCCGAAGUUUCGUAUUAACUUCGUUUCAAACAGUGGAACAGCAAAGAGCGAAGACGAAUUCUAUUGCAAUCCCGUUGAAUUGAACGGCAAAGAUAAAGGUGGCGUAGCAGUCGUACGUGGACACCGACAUUGUCGGUCGGAGAGCCGAACUUGACGAUGGCCGUACCAUCACCUACGACAAGUGCCUUAUUGCCACAGGUGGUAAACGAAAAUCUUUUCCAAUCCCUGAAUGGUGCCCUCAAAGAUGCCCUCGAGCACGUAACGCUGCUCCGCUACAUCGAUGGCGGUAACACAGGCCGAAUCCUCCCUAAAUAUUUGAGCCAAUGGACAACCGAGAAGGUGAAAACGGAAAGUGUUUGUGUUGCCCAAAGCUAAUGUUGAGGGUGCCAUUUUGUUAGACUACAAGGUUGCAUUGACCUUAAAUGAUGGUCAAAAGAUUUAAACUGACCAGUCGUCGCUGUUGUCCAGUGGGACGCAAAAACGGAUUUGGCUGUCGCUUCUGGUUUGAAAAUAGAUUCCAAUUUUGGUGGUUAUCGAGUCAAUACCGAGCUUGAAGCACGAUCGAACGUCUGGCUGGAGAUGUUGCGUUCUUUUGUGAUAUCAAAUUGCGGAAUUGGGUCGUCGUCGUAUGGAAAAUCAUCACUAUGCUGUUGUAUCAGGGCGAUUGGCUGGAGAGAACAAUACUGUCAACGGAACAUGGAUGAACAAUUGCAGUACACUGUCACCAAGUGCAUUCUUCGUCCUAUUAUCAGUACGUAAUCGGGUCGGGUCGAUCACUGGUGUAACCAUGUCUCCUGGGUAUGGCGUAUACCAAAGCACCACGCCGCCGCCUUGCUACACAACAACAUUCGCACCAACCGGUUACUACACUGAGGACCACAAUUACUACACCACCAAGGCUCCAGAGUAUUACACCAUCACCAAAGAUUCUGAGUACUACACCGAGGUUUC